rnacentral:tRNA from 2 species
CAGGAGGUAGUUUAGCGUAAAAUCUUGGCUUUGGGAGCCAAGGACGAGAGUUUGACUCUCUUUCUCCUGA